AAGUGGAAAGUACCGUGAAGUCACUGAAGCCAGCCUGCGAUCAUACGAAGAGCAAACACGCUGUGGUCGCUGCGUAGUUUUCUUCGGUGGUUUGAAAAGUGAAAUUCUGCUGGAAAAUUAUAUCGUUUGUGCAUCAUAGUUUGUUAUUUCAACAAAGUGAAGGCCAAGCUGGUGCAGCAUUGCUAAAAUCGACAUCAUGAGCAACAGCAAUUAUGGACGGCCUCCGCCGAGAAUCGACGGAAUGGUUUCCCUAAAGGUCGAUAAUCUAACUUAUCGAACAACUCCAGAUGACCUACGUCGCGUUUUUGAACGCUGCGGCGAAGUGGGUGACAUUUACAUUCCUCGUGAUCGCCACACCCGUGAAAGUCGCGGCUUUGCAUUCGUCAGAUUCUUUGAUAAGCGUGACGCUCAGGACGCUUUAGAUGCCAUGGACGGGCGCAUGUUAGACGGAAGGGAGCUCCGUGUUCAGAUGGCUCGCUACGGACGGCCUACUUCACCACAACGUGGAAGCGGCGGCGGAGGAGGUGGAGGCCGCCGAUACAAUGGUCGUGAGAGAGGUCGUUCACGCGACCGCAAUCGACGUCGCUCCCGAUCGGUUGAUCGACCCCGUGGAGGUGGUGGACGACGGUCAUACUCGCGCUCAAAGUCCCGUUCCCGUGACCGAUCUCGCUCCGGUAGCAAAUCGUCCCGUGGCAAAGAUUCCAGAUCCCGCAGUCCUCUGGAUCGUGGAACGCACUACUAGAGCGGCAUCACUAUUUAAGAAGCGCGCUCUAGAACCGACUUAGGACCGUAUGUAAGCAAAUGAUCCAGCCAAAAAUGCAGUGAAAUUUUUUAAACCGAUGAGUGAAGCGUAUGAGUUUUAUUCUAAACAUCUUUCUUCGAACAUUAGCAACCAACAAAUGACGAGUGGUGUAGGUUAAAUAAGAACAGCUGCCGAAAGUGAGGCAAUUGGAGUAAGGGCAUACGCGGUUGCAUGCUGCUGCUGCUGUUGCCUGUAACGAAAGAGAGGAGAUCACGUCAACAGAGACAGAGAAUGAGAGAAAGGGAGCAUAAGAGAUCUCCAAACAGCUGCGUUGCAGAGAGAAAGCGUACGUCUCCCCUGUUCCGUGCCUGCCGGUCAUCCUUCGUUUACAAGAACCUACGCGUAUCCUCCAUUUGGCAGACCGCGUGGACUUUUCAGACCGCAGAGUUUGCCCUCUUCAAAAACAAUUCGCUGCCUUGCUGAUCGCUGUAUCGCUGGCUGGCUUGCUGUCGGUUGCCGCACAUGUAGCACAGAGUGUAGUUCCUCGGGAGGUGUCUACGGGCUGACAAUGAUGCGGACGCAGAUCGCCGUUUGUUCCGGAAAACCGCCGCAGCUUAGAAAAAUGUGCUGCCGAAAACUUCUUUUCUGCGCUGCGGCAUUGCUCUUCCCGUUACUUGCAGGAGGGACUUCGGAAGCGGCUGGCUUUUGUUGCUGCUGCUGCGACCGAGUUAACAUUCUCUUUUUUCUUUUCCUUCUUUUUCUACAUUCUAGUGCCCAGUAUUUCAAAACUCUUCGAUCUUAAUUUUGUUUUGUUUUAUUAAUUGCUGCCAAAGUAUUUUGCAUGUCUGUACCGAUGGCGUUGCCGACAAACGUAGAGCCCGGCAGCAGACGAAGAGAGAGAAAAUGAAGUAUGAUACAGGCAGAAGUUUUCCCGGGGUUUAUCUUAAAAAUUUAGCGUUCGUAGCAUGAGAAAGGAGCAGACGAGAGAGGUGUUAAAAGUUGGCGGAACGUUGGGGAGACUUGUAGCGGAGGGCAUCCGGAGGAAAGCGUGUUUAAAGCAGAUCGAUUGCAGAGAUUGCAGGCUCGCGUCAUCGAGAAUGUUCGUGACUUGCUACGUAUCCUGUCUCAUAUCUUUUUCUAGGUUACACCUAAACUACCGUUAAGCUGCUGUUUUUCCCGACCAGUUCCAAACAUGGAUAAGUUUUAUAUUUUCAGAUAAGCCCCACAACCCCCUCAACUUACACAAUUCGAUAUUCGACGGAUCAAGGACUAUGGACCCAUGCUUCUCCGACUUAUCACAUAACCGAUGGUAAGUUUAUUGGAUUCAUUGAAGAAACAACGCAAACUCAUCCACCUACUGGAUUUUACAUUUAAUUUUCUAUGCUACAUUCAAAUGAAUACAUUUUAUGCUAUCUCUACACAUAACAAUAACUUAAAACUGUACGAAUGAUCAGAACCAGCGAAAUAAAUCGUAAUAAAAGUUCUACAUAUUAUCCAA